rnacentral:rRNA from 1 species
UACGUAGGGACCAAGCGUUGUUCGGAUUUACUGGGCGUAAAGGGCGCGUAGGCGGCAAUUCAAGUCAUCUGUGAAAUCUCCGAGCUUAACUCGGAACGGUCAGAUGAUACUGUUUUGCUAGAGUACAGAAGGGGCAAUCGGAAUUCUUGGUGUAGCGGUGAAAUGCGUAGAUAUCAGGAGGAACACCGGUGGCGAAGGCGGUUCUCUGGGCCUUACCUGACGCUGAGGAGCGAAAGCGUGGGGAGCGAACAGG